rnacentral:rRNA from 1 species
UGGCUAACGGGUGAGUAACACGUGGGUGAUCUGCCCUGCACUUCGGGAUAAGCCUGGGAAACUGGGUCUAAUACCGGAUAGGACGAUGGUUUGGAUGCCAUUGUGGAAAGUUUUCGGUGUGGGAUGAGCUCGCGGCCUAUCAGCUUGUUGGUGGGGUAAUGGCCUACCAAGGCGUCGACGGGUAGCCGGCCUGAGAGGGUGUACGGCCACAUUGGGACUGAGAUACGGCCCAG